CCGCAGCAGGGCGCAGAAGUGAGUUAAAGGUGUCAAAGAGACGUCUGGGAUUGCUGGAGCAUGAACUAAUGAGAAAGGAAAAUUAUGACUGUUUGGUGAGGGCAAGGUCUGCACUGUAUGAACGCAACAUGAAUCUAUAAUGGAGAAAGUCUGCCUGGGUACGGGACUUCCUCCAGGAGCAUUCAGCACAACGGGAGCAACUCUGCAGAUAGCAUGUUGAUUUAGUAUGCCAUGGUUGGGGUUGUGUCCUCCUCGAG